rnacentral:rRNA from 1 species
AUAUUCUGUAGCAAGGUUAACCGCAUAGGGGAGCCGGAGGGAAACCGAGUCUUAAUUGGGCGUUAAGUUGCAGGGUAUAGACCCGAAACCCGGUGAUCUAGCCAUGGGCAGGUUGAAGGUUGGGUAACACUAACUGGAGGACCGAACCGACUAAUGUUGAAAAAUUAGCGGAUGACCUGUGGCUGGGGGUGAAAGGCCAAUCAAACCGGGAGAUAGCUGGUUCUCCCCGAAAGCUAUUUAGGUAGCGCCUCGUGAAUUCAUCUCCGGGGGUAGAGCACUGUUUCGGCUAGGGGGCCAUCCCGGCUUACCAACCCGAUGCAAACUGCGAAUACCGGAGAAUGUUAUCACGGGAGACACACGGCGGGUGCUAACGUCCGUCGUGAAGAGGGAAACAACCCAGACCGCCAGCUAAGGUCCCAAAGUCAUGGUUAAGUGGGAAACGAUGUGGGAAGGCCCAGACAGCCAGGAUGUUGGCUUAGAAGCAGCCAUCAUUUAAAGAAAGCGUAAUAGCUCACUGGUCGAGUCGGCCUGCGCGGAAGAUGUAACGGGGCUAAACCAU